AAGUCGUAACAAGGUUUCCGUAGGUGAACCUGCGGAAGGAUCAUUACCAAAUCCAAAUCCUUCAACCCCUUGUGAACUAUGAUUUUAUUUAUUGUUUGUCUUUGGGGAGAGUGUUAAAAUCUUGCUUCGAAAAUCUUUCUUCGAAAGAUUUUAGAUUUAAAGUUUUUUUAUGCUCCCCAAAAGAGUUUCCCUCUUCUGAGGUUGAACUCAAAUAUUUAAAACUACUUUUUAUAAACUUUUUUUGGAAUGCUUUUAUUUUUACUAAUAAAAGACAACUUUUAACGGUGGAUCUCUUGGCUCGU
rnacentral:misc_RNA from 1 species